UCCGCGUGCGCCCUCCGCGCUCCAGUCGGCGGGAGCCCAGGUGCCGGUGGGCUGGACGCGCCCGAGGAUGUGCGGCUGGCCGCUGCUCCUGCUCUGGGGGCUGCUCCCCCGCGCGGCGGCGGGGGGCUCGGGCUGGCCCUUCCCGCACCGCACGCUCCUCGACUCCGAGGGCAAGUACUGGCUGAGCUGGGGCCCGCGGGGCGGCCGGCUCGCCUUCCGCCUCGAGGUGCGGACCGCCGGCUACGUGGGCUUCGGCUUCUCGCCCACCGGGGCCAUGGCCGCGGCCGACAUCGUCGUGGGCGGGGUGGCCCGCGGGCGGCCCUACCUCCAGGAUUAUUUUACAAAUGCAAACAGAGAACUGAGAAAAGAUGCUCAGCAAGAUUACCACCUAGAAUAUGCCAUGGAAAAUAGUACACACACAGUAAUUGAAUUUGCCAGAGAACUGCAUACCUGUGACGUAAAUGACAAGAGUAUAACGGAGAGCACCGUAAGGGUGAUCUGGGCCUACCACCAUGAAGAUGUGGGAGAAGCAGGUCCCAAGUACCAUGAAUCAAAUCGUGGUACCAAGAGUCUGCGGUUAUUGAAUCCUGAAAAAACCAAUGUGUUGUCUACAGCCAUACCAUACUUUGAUUUGGUCAAUCAGGACGUUCCCAUCCCAAACAAAGGUACAACAUACUGGUGCCAAAUGUUUAAGAUUCCUAUGCUCCAGGAGAAGCAUCAUGUCAUAAAGGUUGAGCCCGUGAUUCAGCAAGGCCACGAGAGCCUGGUCCAUCACAUCCUGCUCUAUCAGUGUGGCAGCAGCUUCAGUGACAGUGUCCUGGACGACGGGCACGAGUGCUACCACCCGAACAUGCCCGAUGCCUUCCUCACCUGUGAGACCGUCAUUUUCGCCUGGGCCAUAGGUGGAGAGGGAUUUUCCUAUCCACCUCAUGUUGGAUUAUCCCUUGGCACUCCAUUAGAUCCUCAUUAUGUACUCCUGGAAGUCCAUUAUGACAAUCCAACAUAUAAGGAAGGCUUAAUAGAUAAUUCUGGAUUGAGAUUAUUUUAUACGGCAGAUAUAAGGAAAUACGAUGCUGGGGUGAUUGAGGCUGGCCUCUGGGUAAGCCUCUUUCACACCAUCCCUCCAGGCCUGCCCGACUUCCGGUCUGAGGGUCACUGCACCCUGGAAUGCCUGGAAGAGGCUUUGGAAGCUGAAAAGCCAAGUGGCAUCCACGUGUUUGCUGUUCUGCUCCACGCUCACCUGGCAGGCAGGGGCAUCCGGCUGCGUCAUUUUCGCAAAGGGGAGGAAAUGAGAUUACUCGCUUACGAUGAUGAUUUUGACUUCAAUUUCCAGGAGUUUCAGUACCUAAAAGAAGAACAAACAAUCUUACCAGGAGAUAAUCUAAUUACUGAGUGUCGCUACAACACAAAAGACAGAGCCCGGAUGACUUGGGGAGGAUUAAGCACCAGGAAUGAAAUGUGUCUCUCAUACCUUCUUUAUUACCCAAGAAUUAAUCUUACUCGAUGUGCAAGUAUCCCAGACAUCAUGGAGCAACUUCAGUUCAUUGGUGUUAAGGAGAUCUACAGGCCAGUCACGACCUGGCCUUUUAUUAUCAAAAGCCCUAAGCAGUAUAAAAACCUUUCUUUCAUGGAUGCAAUGAACAAGUUUAAAUGGACUAAAAAGGAAGGUCUUGCCUUCAAUAAGCUUGUCCUUAGCCUGCCGGUCAAUGUGAGAUGUUCCAAGACAGACAACGCAGAGUGGUCGAUUCAAGGCAUGACAGCAUUACCUCCAGAUAUAGAAAGACCGUAUCAAGCAGAGCCCUUGGUGUGCGGGGCGUCUUCCACCUCCCUGCAUGGAAAUGCCUGUCUCGAGCUGCUCCUGAGUUUCGUGGUCCUGGGCGGCGCACUCAGCCCCAGGAGCGUGUGCCCGUAAUACUCUCAUGCUCGGUGACCACAGUUUUCCGUGAUCCGAGCCUGAUAUUUCCCAUGCAGGUUAAGGACAUUUAUGGGGUGUGAAGGAUGAGGGUGAAGACCUUGGAGACUUCCUCUCACAGGUUCCCUUCCUCCUGUCCCCUCUUCUUUCUCAGACUUCCUGAGAGAUGUCCAUCGGUUUCUCAUCUUUUCCUCGGAAAUAUCUGAUAAAAUGUAUGAAUCGUUCAGUAAAGCAAAAUUGACCUUACCUAACCUCUUUAAAAAAUUGGACAAAGUCAAGUGGAAGUAAAAGACUUCUUUAUCUCCUGUAUUUCAUUUUAUUGAAAUACUUGUUAUUGCUAUUUUACUUCUUGAAAUGAUUGAUUUCAUUUCUGUAUUCCUCUUUUUAAAUGUUUUUAUCUUAAAGGUGUAAAUGGAAGUACUGUCCAUUCCAGUGUUCUUUCUCUUUACUGCUCUUUGCUGUGAUUUCCCGAAUGGAACAGUGGUUCUACUUUCUUGUAAUAUGUGGCUCUGUCUUUCUGUGAAUCACCCGUGGGCCCCUGACCUCAACACUUUCUGAUGGUGCCCAUUCUAGCCUGCUCAUUUACCUGAGUCUGCGUCCCAAACCACCCUGAGCCCAUCUUUUUCCCUGCUUCCUUGCUCAGCACUGGCCAGGUGAGUUUUUUCCUUGAGCUCUGUCACUAUCCAAAAAGAGGCUGCAGAAAACAUAGCAAUGGUACAUAAUUGAUUGUAGCCUAGGAGAAAAUAUAGCUGGCUGCAAACUCAGUGCUGUGAGGGGCCUUUUGUGAAGGGCCAGGACAAAGGCCAGAGGGUGUGAACCAGCUGAGGAAGGUGUGAACCAGCUGAGGAGGGUGUGAACCAGCUGAGGAGGGUGUGAACCAGCUGAGGAGGGUGUGAACCAGCUGAGGAGGGUGUGAGGUCCUCUCUGACCAUGUUGGGUAUCACACGUGUUGCAUACUGGCUCAAUCUGAGUCACAGUUGCUAUUGUAGAUUUAUUUUUAUAUUAGUUAAUAAACUAACUUUCCAAAAUAAAAUUGUCACCAGUCCUGUCACCUUUUUUGUUCUUUUGGUAUAGAUCAGCCAAAUCUUAUCUUGGGUCUUUUGCUCAUUGUCUUAAGCUAAGCUUGUUUGGAUCAUAUUAAUAAACUAAAUGAAAUUAAA